rnacentral:rRNA from 1 species
GAUGAACGCUGGCGGCGUGCCUAAUACAUGCAAGUCGAGCGAACAGAUGAGGAGCUUGCUCCUCUGACGUUAGCGGCGGACGGGUGAGUAACACGUGGAUAACCUACCUAUAAGACUGGGAUAACUUCGGGAAACCGGAGCUAAUACCGGAUAAUAUAUUGAACCGCAUGGUUCAAUAGUGAAAGACGGUUUUGCUGUCACUUAUAGAUGGAUCCGCGCCGCAUUAGCUAGUUGGUAAGGUAACGGCUUACCAAGGCAACGAUGCGUAGCCGACCUGAGAGGCGGAGGGGCCCCACUGGAAGUGAGCCAUGGGCAGUAGUCGGAAGGGAGGCAGAGGAAGGGAAUGUUGCGCAGUGGGGGAAAGGCUGACUAAGCAACGGUGAGGGGGGAAUGACGAUGUUAGGAUCGUCAAAGUCUGUUGUUACGGACGCAAAAAUGUGUCCGUAGCUACGCAAGUCUUGACGGUGCCUGAUAAGAGAGCCACGGCUAACUACGUG